rnacentral:rRNA from 1 species
UGGGGAAUCUUGCGCAAUGGGCGAAAGCCUGACGCAGCAACGCCGCGUGCGGGAAGAAGGCCUUAGGGUUGUAAACCGCUUUCAGUAGGAACGAAAUUGACGGUACCUGCAGAAGAAGGUGCGGCCAACUACGUGCCAGCAGCCGCGGUGACACGUAGGCACCAAGCGUUGUCCGGAUUUAUUGGGCGUAAAGAGCUCGUAGGCGGUUGAGUAAGUCGGGUGUGAAAACUCUGGGCUUAACCCAGAGCCGCCACUCGAUACUGCUCUGACUUGAGUUCGGUAGGGGAGCAGGGAAUUCCUAGUGUAGCGGUGAAAUGCGCAGAUAUUAGGAGGAACACCGGUGGCGAAGGCGCUGCUCUGGGCCGAAACUGACGCUGAGGAGCGAAAGCGUGGGUAGCAAACAGG